rnacentral:rRNA from 1 species
UACGUAGGGUGCGAGCGUUAAUCGGCAUUACUGGGCGUAAAGCGUGCGCAGGCGGUUUUGUAAGUCUGACGUGAAAUCCCCGGGCUCAACCUGGGAAUGGCGUUGGAGACUGCAAGGCUGGAAUCUGGCAGAGGGGGGUAGAAUUCCACGUGUAGCAGUGAAAUGCGUAGAGAUGUGGAGGAACACCGAUGGCGAAGGCAGCCCCCUGGGUCAAGAUUGACGCUCAUGCACGAAAGCGUGGGGAGCAAACAGG